rnacentral:rRNA from 1 species
CCUACGGGAGGCAGCAGUGAGGAAUAUUGGUCAAUGGACGAGAGUCUGAACCAGCCAAGUAGCGUGAAGGAUGACUGCCCUAUGGGUUGUAAACUUCUUUUAUAUGGGAAUAAAAUGUUCCACGUGUGGGAUUUUGUAUGUACCAUAUGAAUAAGGAUCGGCUAACUCCGUGCCAGCAGCCGCGGUAAUACGGAGGAUCCGAGCGUUAUCCGGAUUUAUUGGGUUUAAAGGGAGCGUAGGUGGUUGGAUAAGUUAGUUGUGAAAUUGUGGGGCUCAACGGUAAAAUUGCCUGUGAAACUGGCGGGCUAGAGAGCAGUAGCGGGAGGCGGAAUGGGUGGUGGAGCGGGGAAAGG